AGGGUUCGAUUCUGGCUCAGGAUGAACGCUGGCGGCGUGCCUAACACAUGCAAGUCGAGCGGAGAUAUAUCGGAGAUUCUUCGGAUGAUCUUUAUAUCUUAGCGGCGGAUGGGUGAGUAACACGUGGGUAACCUGCCCUGCACUGGGGAAUAACAGUUGGAAACGACUGUUAAUACCGCAUACGCGCACGAGGUCGCAUGACCUUGGGCGGAAAGAUUUAUCGGUGCAGGAUGGGCCCGCGUCGGAUUAACUGGUUGGUGAGGUAAUGGCCCACCAAGGUGAUGAUCCGUAGCCGACCUGAGAGGGUGACCGGCCACAUUGGGACUGAGACACGGCCCAAACUCCUACGGGAGGCAGCAGUGGGGGAUAUUGCACAAUGGGCGCAAGCCCUGAUGCAGCGACGCCGCGUGAAGGAAGACGUAUUUCGGUAUGUAAACUUCUAUCAGCGGGGAAGAAGAUGACGGUACCCGACUAAGAAGCCCCGGCUAAUUACGUGCCAGCAGCCGC
rnacentral:rRNA from 1 species